CAGAGCUGUAUAUAUUUAAUUAAAGGAAAGCGCCGUGCUCUGUGGUUAGCCUGACCGUGACUGGCCUUGCCGAGGGCUGCGGAGAACCGCUGGCUUUGAACCCGGGGCAGAUGCCAACGGCUGCGCCAAAGGCAAGAACCAGCGGAAGAUUUAAGAAAUGCCUGAAGAAAGCUCUGUGAUGCUUUAAUAAGGAUUUUUCAAUGUUUCAGAUGCACCCCUCCGCCCCUUCACCCUCCCCUCCGGGCCUUUGCUUAACACUGGAGACAGCUGGAGAAAAAAACAACACGAAAACAGUGAAAGCUGGGCACGGCAGAGCUGUCCUCUCUUCCGGGCGUUCACCGCUCUUGUCUCUCCUUUACUCUUUUUAUAUCAUAUAAGUGAGAAAUGCUUGUCAGAGCCGUAUGAACUGAGCUGCAUUCCCUCAGGGUAACACACGGAUAAGAUCAGGCUAUUGUGUAGUUCAGAGAGCAGCGGAGAAGCAAACAAAGAGGAAACUGAAACUGUUGUGAAAUUGUUACUUUAGACCGUCUGUGAUCUCUUUCCAUACCUCUGUCUGAUGAUAUGCCUCCUCUCCUCUCAUGUUUAGCAGUCAACAAUCUCUCACCAGGAGGUGCGCUACCCAAAGUACUGAAGGAGUAGCCUGUGGGAGCCUGAAACUGUUGUUAAAUUAAACUGUAGCGUUAAACUGC